GGCCUCGUAGCUCAGCUGGUAGAGCAUGCGCGUACAAAACGUAGGCGGCGUCCAUGCUUGGGUUCGAAUACCACCGAGGCCA
rfam:Echinostoma caproni strain Egypt genome assembly, scaffold: ECPE_contig0010477